GCUGCUGAGGCCAGCAGGACUACAGGCAAUUCCAGGCUUGACACUUGCUGGGUCCAAAAAUGACUUCAGGAAAACCAAAUAUUCAGAGCUGGUGGAGUGAAGCAUGACACAAGGCUCUCCCUUCUCAUGACAUUACAGAAAUUAUGAAGGCUGACUGCCUGAAAGGAGAAGGAACCUACUUCUGAACAAGCUUCCUCUCCCUUCCCAAACCAGUGGGGAAGGAAAGGGGGCAGUCAGUCCUGUAAAUCUCACAGUAAACUAUCCAUCAGUGGGAACCACAGGCUCUAAAGCAGCAGAGUUCAUAUUCACAUGCUUGAAUAUCAGCAUUCGGCUGGAACAUGCCCCAGAAAACUUUUUUUCUACUAAGAUCAACUAUGACAGC